rnacentral:misc_RNA from 1 species
ACCAACGGCCUUUCCUCCCAUU